rnacentral:tRNA from 1 species
GUGGUUGUGGCUCAGUGGUAGACUGCUUGCCUAGCAGGCAUGAGGACCUGGGUUCAAUCCUCAGCACCACA